rnacentral:rRNA from 1 species
AGAGUUUGUUCCGGGCUCAGAUUGAACGCUGGCGGCAGGCUUAACACAUGCAAGUCGAGCGGCAGCGGAAAGAAGCUUGCUUCUUUGCCGGCGAGCGGCGGACGGGUGAGUAAUGUCUGGGGAUCUGCCCGAUGGAGGGGGAUAACUACUGGAAACGGUAGCUAAUACCGCAUAAUGUCGCAAGACCAAAGUGGGGGACCUUCGGGCCUCACACCAUCGGAUGAACCCAGAUGGGAUUAGCUAGUAGGUGGGGUAAUGGCUCGCCUAGGCGACGAUCCCUAGCUGGUCUGAGAGGAUGACCAGCCACACUGGAACUGAGACACGGUCCAGACUCCUACCGGAGGCAGCAGUGGGGAAUAUUGCACAAUAGGGGAAACCCUGAUGCAGCCAUGCCGCGUGUGUGGAGAAAGCCUUCGGG